UAGUCGUGUGGCUGAUAGUGCAGCACAAAGUGGGAGGUAAACUCCUUCUAAAGCUAAAUAUCACCACGAGACCGAUAGCGAACAAGUACCGUGAGGGAAAGUUGAAAAGCACUCUGAAUAGAGAGUCAAAAAGUACGUGAAACUGCCUAGGGCUCAAGCCCGUUGAACUCGAUUAUCCGAGCGGAGACAUUCACCUGCGGUUGGUCGGCUUCGGCCGGCAGGCCGCAGGGCACUUGUCUCCCGCGUCAAGAGGACAUUGCGAUCCAUUACGAAACAGCUUUCGUGUCGCAAGACGCAAGGUCGCCCGACAGUUGCCCCUUGGUGCUGGUUGCUUGCCCCACAGUAGCGACGCUCAGUUCUGAAGGCCUGUGCCGCGAGGUGGGGCUUACUGCACGUGGUGUUUGCAGUCGGGCGCGUGAUGGAUUUCCGCGUACACCGCCGGUCUUCCCGCAAUGGGCCGGCGGACUGUCGAUCGGCAA
rnacentral:rRNA from 1 species